AUGAGGGAGAAAGUGAAUGCGGCU
rnacentral:siRNA from 1 species